UGCAGUCGAGCGGACAGAUGGGAGCUUGCUCCCUGAUGUUAGCGGCGGACGGGUGAGUAACACGUGGGUAACCUGCCUGUAAGACUGGGAUAACUCCGGGAAACCGGGGCUAAUACCGGAUGGUUGUUUGAACCGCAUGGUUCAAACAUAAA
rnacentral:rRNA from 1 species